GGUCGUAUGACAGACAGCCAGGAUCUGGUCUGUAGAGGGCAAGGCAGUGUUGACAGUGGCUGGACACACAGAUGUGGUGAAAGAUGUAGCCUGGUCAAAAGAGAUGGUCUGACCUCUCUGCUUCUGACCGCCUCUCUGGACCAAAACAUCCUGCUGUGGGAGUGGAACUCCGAGAGGACAAGGUGAAAGCCAGACACUGCUGUCGGGGACACACAGGGAGUGUUGACACUGUUUCCACAGACCCCACUGGCUCAAAGUUCUGCAGUGGCUCCUGGACAAAAUGUUGAAGAUUUGGUCU